CGAAAGCCUGACGGAGCAACGCCGCGUGAGGGAUGAAGGCCUCUGGGCUGUAAACCUCUUUUCUCAAGGAAGAAGAUCUGACGGUACUUGAGGAAUAAGCCACGGCUAAUUCCGUGCCAGCAGCCGCGGUAAUACGGGAGUGGCAAGCGUUAUCCGGAAUUAUUGGACGUAAAGCGUCCGCAGGCGGUUCUGUAAGUCUGCCGUUAAAGCGUGGAGCUCAACUCCAUUUCGGCGGUGGAAACUGCAGGACUUGAGUGUGGUAGGGGCAGAGGGGAUUCCCGGUGUAGCGGUGAAAUGCGUAGAUAUCGGGAAGAACACCAGUGGCGAAAGCGCUCUGCUGGGCCAUAACUGACGCUCAUGGACGAAAGCCAGGGGAGCG
rnacentral:rRNA from 1 species